UACGGGGGGGCAAGGCGUUGUUCGGAAUUACUGGGCGUAAAGGGCUCGUAGGCGGCCAACUAAGUCAGACGUGAAAUCCCUCGGCUUAAACCGGGGAACUGCGUCUGAUGACUGGAUGGCUAGAGGUUGGGAGAGGGAGUGGCGGAAUUCCAGGUGUAGCGGGUGAAAUGGCGUAGAUAUCUGGAGGAACACCGGAUGGCGCAAGGCGG
rnacentral:rRNA from 1 species